CUUGAACCUGGGAGGCAGAGGCUGCAGUGAGCCAAGAUCCUGCCCCUGCACUCCAGCCUAGGUGACAGAGCAAGACUCCAUUUCAAAAAGAAAGAAUUGUCCAAGGUCACCCAGCUGGGAAGUGAGAGGUGGAACCAGAAGUUGAACUCAGGCUCAAAGGCUGGUCUGAAACACUGCAGUCAUAAUCUCAUUUAAUCUUCACAACCACCAUAACUAGUAGAAACUAUGAUUUCCCCCGGCCCCUGCAUUUUACAGAUGGAGAAACUGAGAUGUAAGGAGGUUAAGUGACUUGUCCAAGGUCACACGGGAAGAGGCUGAGCCAAGAUUCAAAGUCUGACUUCACAGUACUGGUUCUGCUCUAUCAUGGGAAGUGUCUCCAACAUAGAUGAGGAGAGGGCAGCCAGUGAACUCACGGACGUCAGUGGCUGGGGCAUCUAUCUUGAGCUGGAGU
rnacentral:lncRNA from 1 species